rnacentral:rRNA from 2 species
GAAACCAACAGGGAUUCCCCUAGUAACGGCGAGUGAAGCGGGAACAGCUCAAAUUUGAAAUCUGGCCCUUGGGUCCGAGUUGUAAUUUGCAGAGGAUGCUUUUGGUGCGGUGCCUUCCGAGUUCCCUGGAACGGGACGCCUUAGAGGGUGAGAGCCCCGUACGGUUGGCCACCAAGCCUGUGUAAAGCUCCUUCGACGAGUCGAGUAGUUUGGGAAUGCUGCUCAAAAUGGGAGGUAUAUUUCUUCUAAAGCUAAAUACUGGCCAGAGACCGAUAGCGCACAAGUAGAGUGAUCGAAAGAUGAAAAGCACUUUGAAAAGAGGGUUAAAUAGCACGUGAAAUUGUUGAAAGGGAAGGAUUUAUGACCAGACUUUUUCUAGGGGGAUCAUCCGGUGUUCUCACCGGUGCACUUCCCCUAGUUGAGGCCAGCAUCGGUUUCUGUCGGGGGAUAAAAGCUUCGGGAAUGUGGCUCCCUCCGGGGAGUGUUAUAGCCCGUUGCAUAAUACCCUGACGGGGACCGAGGUUCGCGCAUUGCAAGGAUGCUGGCGUAAUGGUUAUUAAUCACCCGUCUUGAAACACGGACCAAGGAGUCGAACAUUUGUGCGAGUGUUUGGGUGUUAAACCCUCACGCGUAAUGAAAGUGAACGGAGGUGAGAGCCCCUCGGGGUGCAUCAUCGACCGAUCCUGAUGUCUUCGGAUGGAUUUGAGUAAGAGCAUAACUGUUCGGACCCGAAAGAUGGUGAACUAUGCGUGGAUAGGGUGAAGCCAGAGGAAACUCUGGUGGAGGCUCGCAGCGGUUCUGACGUGCAAAUCGAUCGUCAAAUCUGCGCAUGGGGGCGAAAGACU